UUCAGACACGGUGGCAGAGGAGCAACCCAAGUUUGUGGGUUGGUGUGCAGAGGAGGAGAACCAGGAGCUGAUCGCCAGCUUCAACGCUCAGUACCUGAGAGUUCAGAAGGGCUGGAUCCAGCUGGAGAAAGAAACUCAGCCGACAUCGAGAGCCAGGAGCAAGUCUGACAAGCUGAAGGAGAUUUGGAAGAGCAAGAAGAGGUCACGGAAAUGUAGGGGUUCAUUGGAGGUGCAAAAGUUCUCUCCCGUUCAGAUGCUGUUUAUGACAAACUUUAAGCUGUCUAACAUCUGUAAGUGGUUCUUAGAGACAACAGAAACUCGGUCUCUGGUCAUUGUGAAGAAACUAAAUACUCGUCUUCCUGGAGAC
rnacentral:lncRNA from 1 species